GACUCGCUGGUCCUCUCCCUUGCCCUCUCCCUCGGCAUCCUCCCAUGGAGAGAGUAACAACAAAUCAGAGGUAAAUCCACUUCCUGGCAGGAAGUUGAGCCUGAAACUCGAUGAAGCCACAGCGGUUCAAAGGGAGAGUGACACCCAAACAAGAGAGCAGCUCUUAAUCCCCCACAGAAAGAUGGGAAUGGAGAGCUCAGGCCCAGGGGGGAGACCGCCGCCGCUUUGCUUCGCCAGGAUUGAAAACACAGACCUAUUGAGAGGCGGGGACUUUGAGACACAGACCCCGAGGGGCAGUUGCCAAGUUGAAGGCAGCCCGAGGCUGCCAGCUUUUGCCUCUUUAGUUCGAGCCUUGGCAGUAAUGAGAUGAAGAGCCAGGACUUUUAACUGGCUCGGUCAGAAAGAUUUCCUUACUAGGCAAACGCGGGGUGGGGGAGCAUUUGGGUCUCAGCCUGAAGCCACUGUCAUCCAGACGAGAGCCUCUCCUCCCACACCCAGCCCCUACCCCCGAGCCCCUGGGCCCCUCAUCAUGGCCCAGCCCCACUCCUGCCGGCUUCCCACACCUUGAAGGCGAUCCCGAAGAGGUGUCAAGUGGGCCAGAAGAGGGCCCUGACAGAGCGCAAGUGACGAACAGGUGGCCGGGGCAGAGGGCCGCCCUGAGGCUAGUUCUGGACCUGUGGGUCAGCGCCUGGUUUAAGAUUUCAUUUGAAGAAGCAAUCGCAGAGCCUAGAAUUUGAAAAGCCCUAAGAAGACGUCGGAGACGGGAGAUUCAUGCAUGCCUGUUUUCGUAACAGCAUUUCUGCGAAGUUGGCAUCCAAAUGUAAUUCAUUAAAUGAAUGCUCACAUGACACCUGAUUUAUAAGACCAUUAGCUCCACAGAAGAUUUGAGGUUGCUUAUAAAGAGCGGAGCCCAACGCGGGUCUUGAACUCAUGACCCUGAGAUCAAGACCUGAGCUGAAAUCAAGAGUCAGACGCUUCACCGGCUGAGCCACCCAGGAGCCCCUAAGUGGAGUCACUUUAAAUGACUGUUUUCCAGGAUCCUCUGCCCUCCAAAAUUGAGAACCUUCUGGGCAGCCUGAGGAGUCUGAGACAGAAAGGAUAUCCCAAUUCAUCAAAUGCUGCUCACCCCCUUCCCCCCGCCCCGAAAAGUUGAGUAAGACGAAAGCAAAGAAGAACCUAGGGUCUCCCUCCAAUCAGAAGAGAGAACCUGAGCCCUGGACACUCAGGUAGGAGUUGAGCCUUGAACUGCCAUCCACUUCCUUUCCGCAGCCUGCCUGAGACCAUUGACAUUUGAAGAAGAUGGGCUUGUCACUCAUACUCUAAACCUAAUCCAGGUAUCCUUUAAUGUGGUCUGGUUUCCUGGAAAGGGAAUGAGCCUUAUGUGGACUCCACAACCUUCUGACUGUGUGACCGUGGCAAAAUCGUUUACCCUUUCUGUUUUCUCACUUGUAAAAGGAGAAUAGUAACACCUAUCUUGCAGGCCGUCAGGAGGACUAGAGAUAAUGCAUGAAAACCCUGGUCCUGUUUCGGAUAAAAGUAUGCUGCAAGAAACCCUGGUCUUCCUCAUCAGCCGAUGAUAUUUCUAGACUUCAUUUCGAGACUCUCUAGUUCCCAGAGAAAUGCCUUCAUUAAAUAGUGUUUUAAUGUCUUGAUAUCAAUUUUUGUAGAGGAUUAUCCUAAGACGUCAUCGUAAGAAUUCUGCCUCUUUUGCAAAACUCUGGUUGAAGACACUGUUCAGUAUGUUGUCCAUUCAGAAUCCUUGUAACACUUUGGAUAGGAUAAAUUUCUUUGAAUUUAGCAACAGAAAAGAGUUUUUCUAUUUUUCUUUGCUUUUUAUCAAUAAGAAUCAGUGUUUUUAUUUUUGUUUAGUUGCUGGGAAGCCUAGAACUAAACUUAACAGAAGCCUUUCCUUUUCUUCUUCCUCCCUGUAUGGUUUUUGUUCUUUUUACAUUGAUUUUAAGCCUUAUUUUAUACUACUAAUACUUUUAUUACUACUACUGGUAUUGGUAAUAGUACAUAGCAUUUGGAGAGUGACAAUGUCAGAGUCUGCCUGAGCCCUGUAAUCCUGGAAAACAGUGAAAGUUGAGAAAUCCCCCCAAUUUUCAUGUUCCAGAAAAUGACUGAGUGCAAAGGACCACCCUUCCCCAUAUACUCAAUGAUGCCCCCCCAUUUACCUACAAGGCCAGCCAUAGACCCUCAAAAUUUUCUUUCUUUGCCUUAUAAAUAAUGAUCUGAACUUCAUGUCCCCACUGAUUAUUCAGAACAAAAUGCUUGUUAAUCAAACUUUGGUUACACUUCUGCCCUCCCUCCAGGCCCCUGAACUUUUUGGCCCAACUCCCACUAGCCUGCAAAUGUCCUGUCCCAAGAAUAGGCUGGCCUGGCAUGGGAGGGGGAGAUAUUCUCUGAUCUACUAUCCCUUAUGCCCACUUUCUUACACCUCCUUCUUUCUUGCCUUGUUUACUCCUCUCUAUAAAAGAAAAUCCCUUUUUGCUGAACUCUUGAGAUACUUGCUGAUCUUACAGUCAAUAGUAUUCUCCCUAUUGCAAAAUUCUGUCCCCUCCCCCAAACUUGCAAUAGUCUUUUCGGAGUAACAGUCUCUCCUUACUAGUCUGGAUUUGUUUUUUAUUUGAAGACAGUAAUUUGCCAUGUAAAGGGUACACACACAUUGUAAUACAUGAGUGUAUACAUUAUACAUAUAUAUACACCUAUAUAAUCUCAUUUAAGUUUCAUGAUGACCAUAAGAAGGUCAAUACUCUUAUUAUCAGUUUCAAUUUACUAGUGAGGAAACAGAAUCUCAAGAAAUGCCUUGCCAGUAAGUGAGGUAGAGAUCUGAAGCCAGACUUCCUGUCCUUAACUCCUGACUUACUCUUGCUACAGCAUCAUCACUGAUCUUUUGGGAAAUGGACAAGGUAUGAAUAAAUGCUGAGGACAGAAUCAGGGAGAAUGUUUCCUCUGGUCUUUCUGGUCUUUCACGUUGCCCAGAUGUGAUUGCUCUCACGCAUUAUGAUGACUGUUGUUUGCUUGUUUCCCCCAGGAACAUAGUAAUUAAGAACAUUCUGGUAAUUAAGAACAUUCUGCCAGUUAAGGUGGGAGGUAUUCCCAUGCAAAACAUUUCACAUGGAGAACUGCAUGGAGGAAACUCUCUCUACACAUCCCUGGGCACUAUGUUGGAUGUGUUACUGAAGUCAUAUUUUGCCUAGUUCCAGAUGAAUUUGAGGUUUAACUUUGUUACUUCACUUAAUCUCUCAACCACUUAAUGAGGCAGGUGAUUACCUCCAUGAUCCAGAUGGGAAAACUAGGGUUAAUUCUUUGGUGGUUCCAAUGAUGAUAGUUACUAUCUAUCAGAGACAAGAAAGAACACUGUGUGUUACAUACUAUUAUCCUCCUUUUUUGAGGAGGAAAUGAGAGAAAUUAAAUAAUGGAAAUAAUUUGCCCAAAAUACAGCAGAGCCCAGUCUUUGCCAAACUCUUCUGAGCUCUCUCUUCUUUUCCUCCACCUCCUGCUUCUCCUUCUGUCUUUUAUCAUGUUUUUGUCUAAUCAAAAUUUUCCUUGCACAUAGUUUAAAGAUACUGAGAGUUUGGGGAGCCCAGGUGGCUCAGUCGAUUGAACGUCCAACUCUUGAUUUCAGCUCAGGUUGUGAUCUUGGCGUCAUGGGAUCAGGCCUGUGUCAGGCUCCAUGCUCAGUGGGGAGUCUGCUUGAGAGUCUCUCUCUCAGGGCACCUGGGUGGCUCAGUUGGUUAAGAGUCUGACUCUUGAUUUCUGCUCAGGUCAUGAUCCAGGGUCGUGAGACAGAGCACCAUAUUAGAUUCUAUG